rnacentral:rRNA from 2 species
GGCUCAGAUUGAACGCUGGCGGCAGGCCUAACACAUGCAAGUCGRGCGGUAGAGAGAAGCUUGCUUCUCUUGAGAGCGGCGGACGGGUGAGUAAUGCCUAGGAAUCUGCCUGGUAGUGGGGGAUAACGUUCGGAAACGGACGCUAAUACCGCAUACGUCCUACGGGAGAAAGCAGGGGACCUUCGGGCCUUGCGCUAUCAGAUGAGCCUAGGUCGGAUUAGCUAGUUGGUGAGGUAAUGGCUCACCAAGGCGACGAUCCGUAACUGGUCUGAGAGGAUGAUCAGUCACACUGGAACUGAGACACGGUCCAGACUCCUACGGGAGGCAGCAGUGGGGAAUAUUGGACAAUGGGCGAAAGCCUGAUCCAGCCAUGCCGCGUGUGUGAAGAAGGUCUUCGGAUUGUAAAGCACUUUAAGUUGGGAGGAAGGGUUGUAGAUUAAUACUCUGCAAUUUU